AAUCUAAAAGGUUUUGCACUUUUUUUUAACUAAACAAGGCCUCAGCGUCAGCUACUCUUUGGAAGGAAUUAAUGGCGAGAGGAAGAGGGGUCUGGACCUUCACCGCGCUAAAAACUCGAAAGGAAAGUCGAGUUUAAGAGGUCUUGGAGGGUGCUUGAACGAUACCUAAGAGCAUCUCCAAGAGUUUGCUAAAUGGAGUUGCCAUCCUAAAAAUUUGGCAAAAGAGGCAAAAAACCAACUCCAACAAUUUGCUAAAAGGACUUGCCAAUUCCCGACACUUGCCAUCCUUUUGUUCCGCGCGAACAAGUAUUCGCGGCGCGGAGGCCGUCGCAAACGCCGCGCGCGCCCCUCGACUCCACUUCGCGCGCCCUCGUGAAAUUUCCCGGACUGUUCCCGCGCCGUCGCCGAGCAUAUAUGCGAGGGAAUUUUCGUUUCGUUCUUCACCUCCCCGACUGGAACUGAAGCGCCUCCGCGUUCGUCUCGGCCGCGACCAGGAUCUCCUCCGGCUGGGCAAGAUCCCCGCGACCAGGUGCGCAACUGCGUCGCGAGGAGGUCUCCUCCGCCGGCUGCCGUGAUCAGGUAUGUUUGAUGUCCAUGCCCUGUCCAUCUCCAUCCCUUGCCAAUCUCUCAAUCUCCGCCAUGCCGCAAUCAGAGUUCUGCACGUGUACAUCUUUCUGAUCCAUCGUAGUGUCGCUGAUCCAUGCCCGACGAUCAGGGCGUGAUCCAUCGUAGUAGGAGAACUGCUGAUCCAGAUUAUAUCAUCGCGUACAUUUUGAUCAGUACCGUGUGUACGUCUUGGUGAUGUUGAUUCUAUAUCGUGUUCAUCUUGCCAUCGUGUUCAUCUAGACAUGAUUCCUGAUUGAGCAGUGUUUGGGUGAGAGAUGAUUUAAUUAAAAUAAAUAUUCAAUUGGUGAACCUACUUAAAUAUGAAUGUUCGAUCAGGUCAGUAUAACAAACAUACACGAUCAGCAACCUAUCGACGCGAAUACAUGAAGAUGGUCGGGCGACGAACCUGAUCGGAGCGAUCUUCUCGUCUACGGAAGCCGACGAGAUGAACAGCCUUGGCGUAUACGUACUGUGGCCGGCGACGAUCACGUACGAAGGGCGGCGCCCAGGCCGCGAUGCGUCGUCGCGCGGAAGGGGGUGCGGGGGAUCGACGGUAGUUGGGUUUAGCAACUUGCCAAAACUCAAGAUUUGGCAAGCCAAAUUUUGCCAAUUGUUGGAGAUGCUCUAA